UGGGGACAUCGCCGAGGUGGCAGUUGGGGACAAGGUCCCGGCCGACAUCCGGAUCAUCUCCAUCAAAUCCACGACGCUGCGGGUGGACCAGUCCAUCCUUACUGGUGAGUCGGUGUCGGUGAUCAAACACACGGACCCCGUGCCCGACCCCCGCGCCGUCAACCAGGACAAGAAGAACAUGCUCUUCUCGGGCACGAACAUCGGGGCGGGCAAGGCCGUGGGCAUC